GGGGCUGCAUUGGUUUCGACGUGGGUUGGAAUCGCCUCAGGGCAUGUCGAGGUUCAGUCACCUCGUAAAACCGCUGAAAAAACUAACUGCAAACGACGAACGUUUCGCACUCGCCGCCUAAACACCGGUGAGCCUCGCAACAGCAGGCCGAUGGGCUGGGCAAGGGGGUCGCAAGACCUCCCGGCUGCGAGGGAAUCCACAUCGGCUGGUUCACGUCCGGGUGCCUUGGGCGUGAACGAGAUUCAAGGGCACUGGCUGCUUCGAUAGCGUGCGACUGCGCGAUCGAGGUGGCGAGACUCAAAACAGACCGCUAAACAUGUAGAACUGGGCGUGGAAGAUUUGCGGACGCGGGUUCAAAUCCCGCCAGCUCCACCA
rnacentral:tmRNA from 1 species